GUGCUCAUUUCAGCAGCACGUAUACUAAAAUUGGAACAAUCAGAGAGGAUUCGCAUGGCCCCUGCACAAGGAUGACACACAAAUUCAUGAGGUGUUCCAUAUUUUU
ensembl:snRNA U6 U6 spliceosomal RNA